rnacentral:lncRNA from 1 species
CCUUUCUUUCAUUCCUCUCUCUUCCUCGCACGGUCACAUCCGCGACGGCGACGAACGGGAGAGAGAGAGAGAGAGAGAGAGAGAGAGAGAGGCGGCGGUGAAGCCAGCAGCAGCGGCGGAAGAGAACGACGCCGGUGGGCGCCUUUCGUCGGAUUCGCGUGCAAAUCAAGGUUGCGCGCGGCUCCGUCGACUGGUGCUCGUCGGUGUCCGCGAGGCGGGCGCGGACGCGGACGCGCACGAGCGUCCAAAACCGGCACGGCGACGGGCCUCCAACGCCGACAAGCGAGCGAGGAGGCGCAGCGAACCCGAGCACACCCGCGCAGCUGAGGGGCUUGCUCCGGCGCCGUCGUGGCUAGCGACGACGACGACGACGAGACCCUCAACCUAAGGUAGCUUCCGCCACCGAUAACUCAGUCAUGGUUAGGGUUCUUAAGAGAUGGGGAAUUUUUUGGGGAUUUCUCCACAUUAGAGUUUCGGGUUUAAGGGCAAAAUUGCGGUUACUUCAAAUCAUCUUAUUCCCCUCUGAUUGAGCGCAUGAUACGAUAGCCAUAGCUUCAAAUUUGGGGAAAACUUAAGGAAUUUGACAUCUAGGGUUUCGAGAUUUUGGGGAUUUAACUUAGGAAUUGCAUAAUUUACCUAAAUCCCCUUUCAUUUCUCAACAAAUCUCAAGCCCUGGGUCCUCUUAGCACUGUUAGGGCUAUAACUCAGAAGAAUAGGGCUAAAUUAUAAGCAAACUUAGCUUAACAGGAAGAACAAUUAAGCACAAACAUGCUUAUCCAGAGAUGAUUUAGAGCACAAGAGGGCUCUCAAGCUUAAGAGCCAGAUGGCUCCGAUGCCAUUGCCAGGAUAGCAGGAUUUUCUAGUUCCAGCCACUUAGAGGAGAAGAUGAGGUUGAUUACCUUGGUCCUGAGGUUCAGCCGUCUCCUCUCUUCUUGUGGAGCUUGUAAUGUGUAUGUGUGUACUGUUCCUUCCUGGUGCUUCAUUGCUUGCUUGACCGAUGACUAGGGACAGAGUUAGGAUCACUGAGUGUGUGCGUCUGUCUUAGCUUUUCCUUUUCCCCUUUAUAUAUGCACUGUACACUAGGGGAACCAACACCAAAUGGAUGCGAGAUGAUGCCCCGAUCAGGGCAAGACCAAACGAACCUACUGUAGUAAUGGUACUGUAGCAGCUGUAAUUGUUGACUUCCUGUACAUUUGUUGACCCACUGUUUAGCAGUAGAUCACUUGUUAUCCAAUUAUCUGUUCAGACAAAUAUAUUUCCAUGGAAUGUGAUUUUAGUAUUAUUCCCUGACUUGCCAUUGUUCAUUUCCAGAACUUGCCAAAUAUAUUUGUUUUGCUACGAAAACUGAAAGUGAUUGAGCUGGAAUUCUUCUCUUGACUCCAACAACCUGACUGCUACUUCUAACUUCUAUCUACCAAGCACUUUGGACACCAGACCGAGAACUUGGUAACUUUCUAGUAUUUAUUGUUCUUUAGACUUAUUGCACUAUUAUUCAUUUGCAAGCUAUCAUUUAAUGCUGUUCUUCUUAAUUAAGCUUAACCUACAAAACAGUAAACCUCCUUUUUUUGCGGUGAGGUUUCAUGUCAUUCCGUUUCUCUUCUUGGAACCACUGUGAGGAACCACUGUGUUCGGCGUAUAGAGGGCAUAUUCUCUUCUUGGAAAUCAGUGCGUUCCAUUUCUUUGGACAACCAAACACAAGAAUAGAGCCUAGGUGCGGAACAGACAUAUCACAUUCUAGCCCAUCACUCCAACCUAACACCCCCCUAAGGUACCACCUGCCCACCUCCUCCUCUUCGUGGUUAGUAGGACUGAAACCGCAUCUCAUGUCAGUUUGAGUUCUACUGAGCAUAAAACCUUUUGAUUCUAAAGUCUGUCUCCACAGAUCUAACUUCCUAUUAACCCCUGCCCAACUAUCGUCGACUAGCACCACAUUAUCCACAAAGAGCAUACACCAUGGGAUAUCUCCUUGUAUAUCCCUUGUGACCUCAUCCAUCACCAAAGAAAAAAGAUAAGGGCUCAAAUCUGACCCUUGUUGCAGUCCUAUUUUAAUUGGAAAGUCAUCAGUGCCGCCAUAGCUUGUUCGAACACUUGUCACAACAUUGGCAUAUAUGUCCUUAAUGAGGGUAAUGUACUUUGUUGGGACUUGUGUUUCUCCAAGGCUAACCACAUGACAUUCCGCGGUAUCUUAUCGUAGGCCUUCUCCAAGUCAAUGAACAACAUAUGCAAGAGAUAUAUAUCUUACUCCCUCCGUCCAUUAAUAUUAAGAGUGUUUUUGACACUAGUGUAGUGUAAAAAAUGCUCUUAUAUUAUGGGACGGACGGAGUAGACGAGUUAAAAUUGUUUUUCUUUCUGAUCAAUUUGAUAUAACAGAAUUUAUAAGUAGGCAUUUAUAAAAAGGUAUAUUUUAUAAGUAGCACUAAUAAUCUCAAUUAUCAGGUGUGACAUAUCAGAAUAGAGCAUCAUCAAGGAAGGGUUACGAACAAGGCCACAAGUUUUGAGGUGUUCAUGUUUAUGUAAUUUGCUUUAAGUAGGCCGAAUGUUUGUGUAUGUAUUGCGUUGUGAGCUAUGUAAGUGUAUUAUGGAUGUAAACUGAAUCAGAAGUAAUGAAAUCUUCCUUAUUUUUCACCUUUUGGAUGUAAACUGAAUCAGAAGCAAUGAAAUCUUCCAUACUUUUCACUCUUUGUAUUUUGUUUUCUUAAA